UUGUUGGUGAGGUAGAGGCUCACCAAGGCGAUGAUGCUUAGGGGGUCUGAGAGGAUAGUCCCCCACACUGGUACUGAGACACGGACCAGACUCCUACGGGAGGCAGCAGUGAGGAAUAUUGGUCAAUGGGCGAAAGCCUGAACCAGCCAUGUCGCGUGCAGGAUGACGGCCCUAUGGGUUGUAAACUGCUUUUUUACGGGAAUAAUGUCAGCUACGUGUAGUUGUUUGAAGGUACCGUAUGAAUAAGGAUCGGCUAACUCCGUGCCAGCAGCCGCGGUAAUACGGAGGAUUCGAGCGUUAUCCGGAUUUAUUGGUUUAAAGGGUCCGUAGGCGGGUUAGUAAGUCAGUGUGAAAUCUUGCAGCUCAACUGUAAAACUGCCAUUGAUACUGCUGAUCUUGAAUAUAGUUGAGGUGGGCGGAAUACGUUAUGUAGCGGUGAAAUGCAUAGAUAUACGUAGAACACCGAUUGCGAAGGCAGCUCACUAAGCUAUUAUGACGCUGAUGGACGAAAGCGUUGGGAGCGAACAGGAUUAGAUACCCUGGUAGUCCACGCCGUAAACGAUGAUUACUCGUUGUGCGCGAUACACAGUGCGCGACUGAGCGAAAGCAUUAAGUAAUCCACCUGGGGAGUACGUUGGCAACAAUGAAACUCAAAGGAAUUGACGGGGGCCCGCACAAGCGGAGGAACAUGUGGUUUAAUUCGAUGAUACGCGAGGAACCUUACCUGGGCUUAAAUGCAUUUUGACCGUUUCGGGAACGAAACUUCUCUUCGGAGCAAAUUACAAGGUGCUGCAUGGUUGUCGUCAGCUCGUGCCGUGAGGUGUCGGGUUAAGUCCCAUAACGAGCGCAACCCCUAUCGUUAGUUGCUAGCAGGUAAUGCUGAGGACUCUAGCGAGACUGCCACCGUAAGGUGAGAGGAAGGUGGGGAUGACGUCAAAUCAGCACGGCCCUUACGUCCAGGGCUACACACGUGUUACAAUGGCUAGUACAAAGGGCAGCUACCUGGUGACAGGAUGCUAAUCUCAAAAGCUAGUCUCAGUUCGGAUCGGAGUCUGCAACUCGACUCCGUGAAGUUGGAUUCGCUAGUAAUCGUAUAUCAGCAAUGAUACGGUGAAUACGUUCCCGGGCCUUGUACACACCGCCCGUCAAGCCAUGGAAGCCGAGGGGACCUGAAGUUCGUAACCGUUAAGGAGCGACCUAGGGUAAAAUUGGUAACUGGGGUU
rnacentral:rRNA from 1 species